UGGGGAAUAUUGGACAAUGGGCGCAAGCCUGAUCCAGCCAUGCCGCGUGUGUGAAGAAGGCCUUUUGGUUGUAAAGCACUUUAAGCGAGGAGGAGGCUACUUGGAUUAAUACUCUAAGAUAGUGGACGUUACUCGCAGAAUAAGCACCGGCUACCUCUGUGCCAGCAGCCGCGGUAAUACAGAGGGUGCGAGCGUUAAUCGGAUUUACUGGGCGUAAAGCGUGCGUAGGCGGCUUCUUAAGUCGGAUGUGAAAUCCCUGAGCUUAACUUAGGAAUUGCAUUCGAUACUGGGAAGCUAGAGUAUGGGAGAGGAUGGUAGAAUUCCAGGUGUAGCGGUGAAAUGCGUAGAGAUCUGGAGGAAUACCGAUGGCGAAGGCAGCCAUCUGGCCUAAUACUGACGCUGAGGUACGAAAGCAUGGGGAGCAAACAGG
rnacentral:rRNA from 1 species